GGCAGAACUGCCAGGGAGUCAGUGAGAGAGACAAAGGCUUUGGGCCCAAGUGGGCGGGGCAGCAACCAACGGAGAGAAGAGACCUGUGUGGAGAAAGCACCACAGGCCAGCCAGGGCGCCAGCUCGCAAGGACAGCUGGGCCUCAGUCCCAGAUGGACCCCGGCCUCCCGACCUGCCUUCCCUCCACGUGCAGCUGAGCACAGCUGGAGACACUGGGAGGGGGCUUGUGCAGGACACAUCAGCACACCCACGGCCAUCAGGACCGGGUCAGAGAUGCCCACCAAGGACCCCAUCCAGAGGCCUGGGGAAGGCAGAGUCGCACACCUGCAGGAAACUUGAGUUUUUCCCGCCGUCACUGUUCCUGUGGAGUUCUGGGCCCAGGGACAGGUCUGGUGACAGAAGAGAAUUAAAUUCUAAAUGUAGAGAAUUAAAUUCUAAAUGUGAUCCUCUGUGGUUCCAGACCCAAGUCCUCUCUCCUCACGGGUCCAGUGUGAGCUGAGCCCCACCAGCCUCCUGAUUCUCACAUUCCCAGUUUACAUUCAGCAUGUAAACCUGCGAGGCAGGUGAGGGAAACAUGCAAAGAGGACAUUGCUUUGCUGCUUUCAGCAAAAACACAAAGGAAAAAACUUGUGAAGUUACACAGAGAUCUGGAAUUAGAACGGCUUCAAAUUGAACAGAAAAUGUUCUCACAUCAUCCCCGUGGCCCAGCAGCACACAGGCCUGUGAUUGCCAUUUUGGACAGCACAGCAUAGAUGGAGGCCCUGAAGAGUGUGAGCAGAGGAGGACCUGGUCUGACAUUCAGGGUGAAGAGCGCCCCCCAGGCUGGUGCAAGGGGAGAUAAUUGCAGGGGUCUGAGUGGAAGUAGAAGUUGGUGGACCUUGUACAGGAUCUAGACGAAUGAUGGUCCUGUGUGACAACUGCCAUGUGGGGCAGGCAGGAAAGUGGCUGGACAAUAAAGAUGUUCUAAAUGUAUGAGGAUUUUCUGGAAGACGGCAUAUGCAGUUCAGGGCUUUGACUUAACCAACUGGAAGAGUGGAGCUGUAAGUGACAGGUCCUGCCCAGAUCCCUUGGAUGGAAAAGAAUAUGGAGCACAGGUCACAGGUCAUAGUGGCUCCAUCGGGGUACAUUUUAGGUCUAGUGUACUGUCCUCUAGAGCCUGGCUAUGAGAUGGCACCAAAGAGAGAAAAUCUGCCCAGAUGUGGAUAGAUCCCUGACCUCACGCAAGUUGUCUCCUGGUAACAGCUUGAAAACACAUAACUGAGAGAAGAUUUUCUGUCUAAAACGAUGCUUCUGAGCUGAAGCCUGGGAAGACAGUGACUUUAUCCUGAAUAUCCACAGAAAAUAAAGAUUCUGAGACAUAAUACAUCUCUAAAUCCAUUCAGAUGUCUGAAGACAGUAAGACAGAUGACAGUGGAAAGAAUGCUAAGGCCUUAUCAAUCAACUCAGCAAGUGUUGACCAAAUCUCCUCUGAUCAACCACUGUGCUGAGCAUUUGAGUGCUUAUAAAGAGAUAUAAG
ensembl:lncRNA